AAACCAUGAAUCGGGCAUUUCUGUAGAAAGUCUUUAAAUCACUCUCAUACUUUAUACAAGUUCUCAUCUCCAAUUGCUUGAAAUAUGUGAUGUCAUUCCUUAAUCU